rnacentral:rRNA from 1 species
GACGAACGCUGGCGGCGUGCCUAAUACAUGCAAGUCGAACGCUUCUUUCCUCCCGACUGCUUGCACUCAACUGGAAAGAGGAGUGGCGGACGGGUGAGUAACACGUGGGUAACCUACCCAUCAGAGGGGGAUAACACUUGGAAACAGGUGCUAAUACCGCAUAACAGUUUAUGCCGCAUGGCAUAAGAGUGAAAGGCGCUUUCGGGUGUCGCUGAUGGAUGGACCCGCGGUGCAUUAGCCAGUUGGUGAGGUAACGGCUCACCAAGGCCACGAUGCAUAGCCGACCUGAGAGGGUGAUCGGCCACACUGGGACUGAGACACGGCCCAGACUCCUACGGGAGGCAGCAGUAGGGAAUCUUCGGCAAUGGACGAAAGUCUGACCGAGCAACGCCGCGUGAGUGAAGAAGGUUUUCGGAUCGUAAAACUCUGUUGUUAGAGAAGAACAAGGACGUUAGUAACUGAACGUCCCCUGACGGUAUCUAACCAGAAAGCCACGGCUAACUACGUGCCAGCAGCCGCGGUAAUACGUAGGUGGCAAGCGUUGUCCGGAUUUAUUGGGCGUAAAGCGAGCGCAGGCGGUUUCUUAAGUCUGAUGUGAAAGCCCCCGGCUCAACCGGGGAGGGUCAUUGGAAACUGGGAGACUUGAGUGCAGAAGAGGAGAGUGGAAUUCCAUGUGUAGCGGUGAAAUGCGUAGAUAUAUGGAGGAACACCAGUGGCGAAGGCGGCUCUCUGGUCUGUAACUGACGCUGAGGCUCGAAAGCGUGGGGAGCAAACAGG